rnacentral:rRNA from 1 species
AACUGUGUGCGGUGGAUCACUUGGCUCGUGCGUCGAUGAAGAGUACAGCCAACUGUGUGAAUUAAUGUGAAUCGCAGACUGCUUCGAACAUCGACAUUUCGAACGCAUCUAGA